CCUACGGGAGGCUGCAGUGAGGAAUCUUUGUCAAUGGCCGGAAGGCUGAACCAGCCAUGCCGCGUGUAGGUCAGUGCCCUAUGGGCGUUAAACUCCUUUUGUGCAGGAGCAAUAAUGGUCACGUGUGGCCAGACGAGUGUACCGUACGACUAAGCAUCGGCUAAAUCCGUGCCAGCAGCGGCGGUAAUACGGGGGAUGCAUGCGUUAUCCGGAUUUAUUGGGUUUAAAGGGGGCGUAGGUGGGUAAUUAAGGCUGCGGGGAAUGUUUGCGGCUCAAACAUCAAAUCGCCGUUGAAACUGGAGGACUUGAGUAUAUUAGAGGUAGGCGGAAUGCGUGGUGUAGCGGUGAAAUGCAUAGAUAUUACGAGGAACUCCGAUGGCGAAGGCAGCUUGCUAAGCUAUUACUGACACUGAGGCACGAAAGCGUGGGGAUCAAACAGGAUUAGAUACCCGUGUAGUC
rnacentral:rRNA from 1 species